GGAAAUUCACAAAGAUGUAACAGCCACAACUCUUACUGAACUGGAUGAGGAUCAACCAUGCAAUAUGGAUGGUGAAGAGGAUGGGAUGAACUAUGUGGCGCUAAAU